rnacentral:lncRNA from 1 species
AAUGUUGUUGUUAAACGUAUGAAAUAUGAUUGAAUUGUGUAAAUUAUAAAAAUGUUGCUAUUAAACCCAUGGAAUUUGAUUGAAUUGUGUCAAUGAUGAAAAUGUUGCUGUUAAACCCAAGAAAUUUGAUUGAAUUGUGAAAUUGAUGAAAAAGUUGUUGUUAAACUCAUGAAAAUUGAUUAAAUUAUGCGCAUGAUGAAAUUGUUGUUGUUAAACCCUUGGAAAUUGAUUGAAUUGCGGGAAUGAUGAAAAUGUUAUUGUUAAACCCAUGAUAUUUGAUUGAAUUUUUGGAAUGAUAAAAAUGUUGCUGUUAAACUCAUGAAAUUUGAUUGAAUUGUGGGAAUGAUGAAAAUGUUAUUGUUAAACCCGUGAAAAUUGAUUGAAUAAAUGAUGAAAAUGAUGCUGUUAAACUCAUGAAAUUUGAUUGAAUUGUGGGAAUGAUGAAAAUGUUAUUGUUAAACCCGUGAAAAUUGAUUGAAUUGUGGGAAUGAUAAAAUUGUUGCUCUUAAAACCUUUAAAAUUUGAUUGAAU